GCCAGGUGUGGUGAUGUACACCUGUAAUUUCAGUGACUUGGGAGGCUGAGGUAGGAGUAUUGCAAGUCAAGGUCAGCCUCAGCAAUUUAUCGAGGCCCUAAGCAAUUCAGCAAGACCCUGUCUCUA
rnacentral:sRNA from 1 species